rnacentral:rRNA from 1 species
GGGGAAUAUUGGACAAUGGGCGCAAGCCUGAUCCAGCCAUGCCGCGUGAGUGAUGACGGCCCUAGGGUUGUAAAGCUCUUUCAGUGGGGAAGAUAAUGACGGUACCCACAGAAGAAGCCCGGCUAACUUCGUGCCAGCAGCCGCGGUAAUACGAAGGGGGCUAGCGUUGUUCGGAAUUACUGGGCGUAAAGCGCACGUAGGCGGAUCGGUCAGUUAGGGGUGAAAUCCCAGGGCUCAACCCUGGAACUGCCUUUAAUACUGCUGGUCUAGAGUUCGAGAGAGGUGAGUGGAAUUCCGAGUGUAGAGGUGAAAUUCGUAGAUAUUCGGAGGAACACCAGUGGCGAAGGCGGCUCACUGGCUCGAUACUGACGCUGAGGUGCGAAAGCGUGGGGAGCAAAC